CCAAUAGCGUAUAUUAAAGUUGUUGCAGUUAAAAAGCUCGUAGUUGAAUUUCGGGAUUGGCGCAUCGGUCGUGCCUCACGGGGUAUGAACUGGUGCAGUCAAUUUCUCACCUUCUGGAGAACCGCGAUGUCCUUAAUUGGAUGCCGCGGGGAACCAGGACCUUUACUUUGAAAAAAUUAGAGUGCUUAAAGCAGGCAUUUUUGCUUGAAUCCAUUAGCAUUGAAUAAUAAAAUAGGACGGCAUGGUUCUAUUUUGUUGGUUUCUAGGAACACCGUAAUGAUUAAUAGGGAUAGUUGGGGGCAUUAGUAUUCAAUUGUCAGAGGUGAAAUUCUUGGAUUUAUUGAAGACUAACUACUGCGAAAGCAUUUGCCAAGGAUGUUUUCAUUAAUCAAGAACGAAAGUUAGGGGAUCGAAGACGAUCAGAUACCGUCGUAGUCUUAACCAUAAACUAUGCCGACUAGGAAUCAGACGAUGUUAAUUUUUUAAUGACUCGUUUGGCACCUUACG
rnacentral:rRNA from 1 species